rnacentral:rRNA from 1 species
CCUACGGGUGGCAGCAGUGAGGAAUAUUGGUCAAUGGACGAGAGUCUGAACCAGCCAAGUAGCGUGAAGGAUGACUGCCCUAUGGGUUGUAAACUUCUUUUAUAAAGGAGUAAAACGCGGCACGUGUGCCUUUUUGCAUGUACUUUAUGAAUAAGGAUUGGCUAACUCCGUGCCAGCAGCCGCGGUAAUACGGAGGAUCCGGGCGUUAUCCGGAUUUUUUGGGUUUAAAGGGAGCGUAGGUGGGUUGUUAAGUCAGGUGUGAAAGUUUGCGGCUCAACCGUAGAAUUGCAAUUGAUACUGGCAGUCUUGAGUGCAGUAGAGGUAGGCGGAAUUCGUGGUGUAGCGGUGAAAUGCUUAGAUAUCACGAAGAACCCCGAUUGCGAAGGCAGCAUACUAGACUGUGACUGACAUUGAUGCUCGAAAGUGUGGGUAUCAAACAGGAUUAGAUACCCCAGUAGUC